CGGGGGUAGAGCGUGAUGAUGUGUGUGUAGCAGUGUGCACACACUAUUUAGAUAGGGUCAGUGAAGGCCUCCUGAGAGGGCUACAUUUGUGUAGAAAGGGGACUGAAAUGAGGAGUGAGUCCUGUGAAUCGUGAGGAGAAGAGCCUACCAGGCAGAGGGGACAACUCGUGCAAAGGCCCUGGGGCAGGGUAUGCUUAGAAGGUCCAGGGACAAGGAGGAGCCCAAUGAACACAGUGCUGUGAGUAUUAGUAAACAAGAUUAGAGAGGUCAGCCAGGCCAGGUCACUGUCAUCUUUGCAGGCCAAAAUAAGGAUUUUAGACUUUAAGAGACACUGACCUCAGUUUUGAAAAAUGAGGAGUCAUCCAGCAAAUAAGGAGGAAGAAAUGUUCCAGGCCCAGGAAACAAUACAUGCAGUGGUGCAGGGGAGGGGCUGGUCUCAUGUCUUUGGGAGAGUUUCUGAGAGUUGAUAUUGGUGGAGUCAAGGGCUAGGAGAGGGGAGCCUGUGAGGGAGGUCAGGGCCAGGCCACAAUGCACCCACUGUGUGCAAGCUCCACGCUCCCCAGACUGGGCCAGCACCCCCUGCAGUGUGGCCACCAGUCUUCUCCUGGGCAAGAGUGAGCCGGGUGUGCCAGUCUGUUCUGACAGGAGAGGUCGGAUCCACCCUCACUAAGAAAGAGCACAGGCAGUGCAGGCCCCGGGUGAUCUCUUCGAGGGCCCUAGGUUCUCUUUCCUGAGCUCAGAAGCAAAGGCCCAGCAAGCUGCUGCUCCCUGAGAUGCAAGGACUUACCCAGCAGGGCAAGGCCUGUGUCCUGGGAGUGGGGAGGCUGAAGGAAGAGAAAAAGGCUCCCAUGCAAACGAGUGGUUUGGGUCAGGAAGUACGAACACAAGGGAGAAGAGGCCACAAAGAGCCAGGCUCCUUGCCAGGAGCAAGGCUGGGACCCACGGCUCUGACGAACACCCCUGUCUUCUCUCUAAGGGGCCUGUUCCCACCGCCCCGAGGCAGCCUGCUCUCUGCCGAAGUGUGCCGUCACUGCUUUCACAUCAGCACUCCGUGAACAACCUAGGCCAGGCAUCCUAGAGACAUCUCCCAAGUAGGGGACAGGGAACUCUUUGUCCUGAACCAAGGUGGCAGAAUUGUGCAACAGCAGAGGCUGGUCUUCACUGAGUCCCACGUCCCCCUGUGGGUGCUGGCUGCCCAGGCUCUCUGUGCCGCUGCCAUGUGGUAUCUGAAGGCUUCUGCUUCAGGCCCCUUGGCGCUCGUUUCUAAAGGCCAGAUUAGAGGGCUGUGGGGACAGGCAGAAGCCUUGCUUCUGAGAGUGGAGACCAGAAGCUGCGCCUGGGUUCUCUUUGCCUGCAAAGAAAGAAAGUGAUUUCCGGAGGGUAUUUGAUCUGCCUGAAGACAGUUUCUGCAGUGACCAGCAACAGAGAGGUGGGACGGACUAGAGCUCAUCUAUCCAAUAGUGGGAAUUAUAUGCCCACUCAUUUCUUUGACCAAAAUUUAUGGAGUGCCUCCCAUAUGCCAGUCAUUGUUCAAGGUGCCUCAAUCAUAGCUGGAAUACAUCCUGUUGUUUCAUAUUCCAACAUAUUUGGAGUAAGAACAGAAUCAAAGGACAUUGGGAGAGGUCUGUCUCCUCUCUUGGUUAAUCUUAGUAAUGAGCCAUUACAGAACAUUCUGGAGCAACGGGAGGGGCUGGUAGCCUGCCUAGAUCAUCCAGGUAGCUCAGGAUGUGUCGGUCAUUUCUGAUUGGCCGGUCAACUUGGGGCUCAGACUAGGAGGGAACAGGUUCCUAGGGCUGUCGCAACAAAGCACAACAAACUAUGUGACUUGAAACAACAGAAAUUGGUUCCCUCAUAGUUCUGGAGGCUGGAAAUCUGAAACUGAGGCUCCGGGAGGAGGUGACAGCCCGCUGCUGCCCUACGCAGCCUGGAGGGGAGCAGACGGCAGGUGCCAGUGCCUGGCGAAGUCUCUUGCUCAGUCUGAGAGCUCGUUCAGGUGCAGACUUUCUGCUCUGCCCCAGGCUGAGGUUUAGGAAGGCAUAGAGACCGUCGGCAGAUGUUUUCUUUUUUUUCCAUCUUUUCUUUUUUUAUUGAGUUCAUAACAGUUGACAUCAUUGUGAGAUUUCAGUUGUACAUUAUUUCUUGCUUGUCACCACAUAAGUGCUCCCCUUCACUCCCUGUGCCCACCCACCACCCACCUUCCCCUGGUGACCACUGAACUGUUUUCUUUGUCCAUGUGUUUGUUUAUAUUCCACAUGUGAGUGAAGUCAUCUGGUGUUUGUCUUUCUCAAGUAAAACCAACUAAAAGUCAGUCUUUAUUAUCGCCAUGCUCCCAGAAUUCUAAAUAGUAUCAGUAGUAAAAGACUCCUCCUAGCGGGGGACCGCUCCUACUGCAAUCCUGCUCCUCCCACCAGGACAGUGCUGAAGGAGUUGGUAUACCACUUGUAUUUCUUCACCAUUUCUUAGAGCUGCUAUAACAAAGUACCACAAACCGGGUGCUUAAACCACAGAAAUUAAGUUUCUCCCAGUUCUGGAGGCAAGAAGUUCAAGACCAGGUGCCAGCAGGGUUGGUUUCUUCAGAGGCCUCUCUCCUUGGCUUGUAGAAGGCUUUCUCCCGGUGUCUUCAUAUGGUCUUCCUUCCAUACCUGUCUGUGUUCAAAUGUCCUAUUCUUAGAAGGACACCAAUCACGUCGGAUUAGGACCCACCCUAAUGACCUCAUUUUAACUUAGUUACCUCUUUAAAGACCCUCUCUCCAAAUACAGUCACAUUCUGAGCUACAGGGGGUUAGAACUUCAAUGUGUGAAUUUUGGGGCAUCCAUAACACCACUGAAUCCAUCUAUUAAAUUUUUGGCCAUGUGUAUAUCUUCUUUGGAGAAUUGCGUAUUCAAGUUCUUUGCCCAUUUUUAAAGUCGAGUUAUUUGUUUUUCUGUUGUAGAGUUGUAGGUCUUUAUAUAUUCUGGAUAUACGCAUCUAGAUAUGUGAUAUGAAAAUAUUCUCUCCUGUUCCAUAGGUUGCCUUUUCACUCUAUUGAUUGUUCCCUUUGAUGUACAGAACUUUUUAAGUUUGGUAUAGUCCCAUUUAUCUAUUUUUGCUUUUGUUGGCUGUGCUUUUGGCGUCAUAUCCAAGAAGUCAUUGCCAAAUCCAAUGUCAUAAAGGUUUUCCCCCUUUCCCCUCUGUUUUCUUCUAGGAGUUUUAUAGCUUUAGGUCUUUGAUCUAUUUUGCAUUGGUUUUUUUAACGUGGUAUAAGUAAGGGUCCAGCUUCAUUCUUUUGCAUGUGAAUAUCCAGUUUUCCCAGCACAUUUGCUAAAAGGACUGUUUUUUUCUCCCUUAAAUGGUCUUGGCACCCUUGCCAAAAAUCCUUUGACCAUGUAAGUGAGGGUUUAUUUCUGGGCUCUCUGUUCUACUGCAUUGGUCUAUAUGUGUCUUGAUGUCAGUACCACACUGAUUUGAUU
ensembl:lncRNA